AAGCUACUGGGGGAGCCGAGGCUCCCCCCCAAAGUAGGUGCGUGCUUUGUUUUUAUUAUGAUGCCGGGCUUGUUGUUUUUGUUUGUUGACCCGUCCCUCAAGGCCAGUUGCCUUGGGGCGUAUCCCAUGUCGGGACUUGUAAGAGCAAACGGAUUGCUUUGGUCGCUGAGUGAGCGGUGAUCUUGCGAUCCAACCAGUUCCGGCGCUGCCUUCGGGCAGUU
rnacentral:misc_RNA from 1 species